rnacentral:lncRNA from 13 species
UUAUGAUAACACACGAGUUGUGUAGCAUGAGACGUAGAAACAAUCGCGUUCUAAGUUUCGUUUGCACCUAUUGCAUCGCAACAAGCAGAAUUCUCGCGUGUAUUUUGCAUCUUAUUUAUAUUCGUGUGUGAUGUAUUAGGCUCGUAUUACAUUUAUCGUACGGUUCGAGGAGAACGGCAAAACGAAACGUCAACAGUAUUUCAACGAAAGACGAUAGCCGUGGAGUAGUCCGAGGGGAAGCAGAGUCCCGCGUAUCUCGCCCCUCUGUCUACAACCCCACUGUGAAUCAUCAUGAUAAGGAACCAUGUCGACCAGGUGGUCUGCCCCGCGUCAACGCUACUUGCGCGCGCGCGUGCUACGCUCCGUCACCCUGACCUUUGACCGUGUGUUCGUGUGCACUAUGGAGACGUUAUAAGGGUUCGACGUGUUCGCUGUAGAAUCACCAUCUAGCUUGGAUUACCGACGGGGAAGGUGGAAAAGAGUUCCUGCGAAAGAAACUACAGCGGCGAUGAUAGCGCGCACUCUUCUGUGCGCAAGGUAUAAGGGGUUGCGGGGAAUGCAAGUGAUGCAUUUUGUAUUCAAGCCGCCACGUGCAAACAUCAUGCUCGGAGCUAUCCUUCUAUCAGCCGGCAAAUGUAAAGAUACCUAGCCAAAUGUGCGCAAGAUUGAACCGGGAAAGAAUUACUACUAAAACAUCGAAAUAUCUUCUUAAGCCACGGAGCCACCUCAAGAGACGUGUACCAUGGGAAAAAUACGUAGAAUUUUUAAAGAAGUUGCGAAACAAUAGGAAUUUGAUAUAUAAGAAAUAGGAUCACAUCAUAGAAUUAUCUAAUAUCACAGAAAUAAUAGUAAUUAUACAUUAAUGCACAAUAAUCGAUUGAUUGUAAUUUAAGAUAUUUGAAUAUAUAUUUACAGGCAUAA